CAUGGUAACACUUAAGGGGAAUAGGUCUAAAACAUGAUCUCAUGGUAACACUUAGGGGGAUCAGUCUAAAACAUGAUCUCAUGGUAACACUUAGGGGGGAUCAGUCUAAAACAUGAUCUCAUGGUAACACUUAGGGGGAAUAGGUCUAAAACGUGAUCUCAUGGUAACACUUAGGGGGGAUCAGUCUAAAACAUGAUCUCAUGGUAACACUUAGGGGGGGAUCAGUCUAAAACAUGAUCUCAUGGUAACACUUAGGGGGAAUAGGUCUAAAACAUGAUCUCAUGGUAACACUUAGGGGGAAUAGGUCUAAAACAUGAUCUCAUGGUAACACUUGGGGGAUCAGUCUAAAACAUGAUCUCAUGGUAACACUUAGGGGGAAUAGAUCUAAAACAUGAUCUCAUAAUGACACUUAGGGGGGGGAUCAGUCUAAAACAUGAUCUCAUGGUAACACUUAGGGGGAAUAGGUCUAAAACAUGAUCUCAUGGUAACACUUAGGGGGAAUAGGUCUAAAACAUGAUCUCAUGGUAACACUUAGGGGGAAUAGGUCUAAAACAUGAUCUCAUGGUAACACUUAGGGGGAAUAGCUCUAAAACAUGAUCUCAUGGUAACACUUAGGGGGGAUCAGUCUAAAACAUGAUCUCAUGGUAACACUUAGGGGGAAUAGGUCUAAAACAUGAUCUCAUGGUAACACUUAGGGGGGGAUCAGUCUAAAACAUGUUCUCAUAAUGACACUUAGGGGGGAUUAGUCUAAAACAUGAUCUCAUGGUAACACUUAUGGGGGAUCAGUCUAAAACAUGAUCUCAUGGUAACACUUAGGGGGAAUAGGUCUAAAACAUGAUCUCAUGGUAUCACUUAGGGGGGGGGGAUCAGUCUAAAACAUGAUCUCAUGGUAACACUUAGGGGGGAAUCAGUCUAAAAUAUGAUAUCAUGGUAACACUUAGGGGGAAUAGGUCUAAAACAUGAUCUCAUGGUAACACUUGGGGGAUCAGUCUAAAACAUGAUCUCAUGGUAACACUUAUGGGGGGGAUCAGUCUAAAACAUGAUAUCAUGGUAACACUUAGGGGUCUUAUGACUGGUUUUUAUAAAGGGGCUAUGACUGGUUUUAUAAAGGGGCUAUGACUGGUUUUAUAAAGAGGCUAUUACUGGUUUUAUAAAGAGGCUAUUACUGGUUUUAUAAAGGGGCUAUGGCUGGUUUUAUAAAGGGGCUAUUACUGGUUUUAUAAAGGGGCUAUGACUAGUUUUAAAAAGGGGCUAUGACUGGUUUUAUAAAGGGGCUAUUACUGGUUUUAUAAAGGGGCUAUUACUGGUUUUAUAAAGGGGCUAUGACUGGUUUUAUAAAGGGUCUAUGACUGGUUUUAUAAAGGGGCUAUGACUGGUUUUAUAAAGGGGCUAUGACUAGUUUUAAAAAGGGGCUAUGACUGGGUUUAUAAAGGGGCUAUGGUUGGUUUUAUAAAGGGGUUCUAUAAAGGGGCUAUGACUGGUUUUAUAAAGGGGCUAUGACUUGUUUUAUAACAAAGAUAUGACUGGUUUUAUAAAGGGGCUAUGACUGGUUUUAUAAAGGGGCUAUUACUGGUUU